GCCUGUUUAACAAAAACAUCGCCUUUUGGAUUGUAUAAAAGGUCUGGCCUGCACACUGUGAAUAAAGGGCCGCAGUAUAUUGACUGUGCAAAGGUAGCAUAAUCAUUAGUCUCUUGAUUAGGGGCUAGAAUGAAUGGUUGGAUGAGGUAAAAGCUGUCUCUUGCUAGAGGUAUGAAAUUUAGCUUUUCAGUUAAAAGGCUGAGAUGAAGUUAAAGGACGAGAAGACCCUAUAGAUCUUUAUAAAAUUAUAUAAGACUAGAAGAUGAGUUAUAGAUUUAUAAAAAUUUUAUUUGGUUGGGGUGACAAGGAAAUAAAAUAACUUUCUUUAAGAAAACACGAGUUAGUGAUUAAGAGAUCCAUUAAUAAUGAUUAAAAGAAAAAGUUACCUUAGGGAUAACAGCAUAAUCUUCUUAGAGAGUUCUAAUCGAUAGGAAGGGUUGUGACCUCGAUGUUGGAUUAAGAUUUAACUAAAGUGUAGCAGCUUUAGAUAUUGGUCUGUUCGACCAGUUGUAUCUUACAUGAUCUGAGUUCAAACCGGAGCUCC
rnacentral:rRNA from 1 species